UCGCCAUUCUAGUAGUAUUCAGUUGCUAAUAUAAUGUAUUGUUCGUUGCUACUUUGUCGCUAGUCUAUUAUUAAACUAAAUAUUUUUUAUCGCUAUAUUAUCAGUAUUUGAUCAUUAAUAUAGUGUCUAAUUAGUUGCUAGUUUGUUACUAAUAUAUCGUUAAAUGUAAAUAUAUUUUAUUGCUAGUCUAUCGUUGUUCUAUCACUAUACUAUUUAUCUGAAUCUUUGUUAGUCUUUAAUCUAUCACGAUUCCAUCGUUAAUUUUAUUUUUAAGAUUAGAUUCCAUCAACAGUCCAUCUCUAUUUUAUCACUAAAAUUUU
rnacentral:lncRNA from 1 species